GACGAGCCACACGAACGUUAUUCGGAAUUACUGGGCUUAAAGGGUGCGUAGGCUGCGCGGUAAGUUGGGUGUGAAAUCCCUCGGCUCAACCGAGGAACUGCGCCCAAAACUACCGUGCUCGAGGAAGAUAGAGGUGAGCGGAACUUACGGUGGAGCGGUGAAAUGCGUUGAUAUCGUAAGGAACACCCGUGGCGAAAGCGGCUCACUGGGUCGUUUCUGACGCUGAUGCACGAAAGCUAGGGGAGCAAACGGG
rnacentral:rRNA from 1 species